GAUGAACGCUAGCUACAGGCUUAACACAUGCAAGUCGCAGGGUAACAUGAGGAAAGCUUGCUUUCCUUGAUGACGACUGGCGCACGGGUGAGUAACGCUUAUCCAACCUUCCCAUAACUACGGGAUAACCCGUUGAAAGACGGCCUAAUACCGUAUGAUAUCGUUUGCUGACAUCAAAUAACGAUUAAAGGUUUAGCGGUUAUGGAUGGGGAUGCGUCUGAUUAGCUUGUUGGCGGGGUAACGGCCCACCAAGGCGACGAUCAGUAGGGGUUCUGAGAGGAAGGUCCCCCACAUUGGAACUGAGACACGGUCCAAACUCCUACGGGAGGCAGCAGUGAGGAAUAUUGGUCAAUGGGCGAGAGCCUGAACCAGCCAAGUAGCGUGCAGGACGACGGCCCUAUGGGUUGUAAACUGCUUUUAUGUGGGGAUAAAGUGCGUGACGUGUCAUGCAUUGCAGGUACCACAUGAAUAAGGACCGGCUAAUUCCGUG
rnacentral:rRNA from 1 species